UAGAGGGGCAAAAGUGAUGUUUACCAGAUAGAAUGCUGAUUUUUUUAAUAUAUUUACAACAGUAUUUGUGUAAAAAAAACAAAAAAGUGAGAUUGUUAAAAGUGAUUUUUUUCUCCUUUUGGUUCCGCAUACACUGCCGUCGUUCCCUUUACUUUGUCUCACACAUAUAUAUAUUUUUUGGUAAGUCAAGACUGUUAAGGUUAGCGAUACUGCUUCCAGAUAGAAAGAAUAGAAGGCAACUAAAGUUAUAUUUGAAAGAGAGGAAGGAUAUUUUCUUCAUAUUUUUUUUCUUAAUUUUUAUUAUUUUAAAGUAUUGCCUGGGUUGCUAAGGGCCUCCGAGGCCCGCCCACCCUGCUGUAAUUUCAACUGCUGCUCUGUUUUCGAUGCAUAGAUCUUUGACUUCUAGCAGGCUUCAGUGGAGCGAGCCACUGAACAGUUAUCACCUAUCUAUCUAGAAUUCUGUCCUUUAUCAUGGGAGGGGUGUGCUCUUUUACAAGCAGAUUUCUUCCUUCUCCAAAAUUUCACUGAGCUCUUAGGAUUCUAGAGUUCCAUGAGCCUUGCUUUGUUUCCUCUGGUGAAACACUAGUGGUCCAGACACCUUGACACAGGGGUCUGUUUCCUUCAUGGUCCUCACUCCUCUCCCCUGCCUGCUCACCCUCUCAGAGCACUGUGUGGGCGUCACUCUGAGAAGCCUGUUACAAACCACAGUGCAUUGAUGCCAAAACUCCUCCCUUCCUUUCACGGCCUCUGACUGCCCACCAUAGCUCACAGGGCUGAGUUAGGAUGGUCAUUCUUUAGUUGAUUGUUGACUCUUGCUUUUUUGGAGGAAUUAACAGUUUCUCUGUGCUAACAUCCAACUUUCAAAAGGCCAUGAAUCUCCAGCAUCAUCCUGGAUGCUGCUCUUUCUAGUUGGGAUUUCUCUCUUUGGUGUUGAUCAAGAAAUCAUAAGAUUUUCCAAUUAUAUACAGAGUCCUGAAGGGGUUCCAGC
rnacentral:lncRNA from 1 species